UUCUUGUAGUUAAGAUUCUUUAACAAUAGUUUUUCGA
rnacentral:tRNA from 1 species